GCACUGUCCAUAUCCAUCGUACCCAAUUGCCAUCCCUAGUCAUGUGACCCGGUAAAACACGGAGAGCCAUCCCUAGUCAUGUGACCCGGUAAAACACGGCGAGCUGACCACCCGGAGGCAGCUUCCUCUGCAGAUCCCAACAAAAGUUCGGUUCUAUUUAGAUCCUGGAGCACUGCCAAUGGAGCGCACCCAGUCUACAGUACCCAAUUGUUCCCUUUGUUUGCUAACUUUUGCCCGCUCCAACUCGCGGGACACACCGCGAAACAGCAACAAGCCAACAAUGUCACCAAACGCUUGCCCAUGCUCGAUUCGAUUGCUUCUUGUUCUCCUCAGCUUAUUAAUAUUGGCCCUCCUCAGCGGCAGCGUUGCAGGCGGACGCGCAAGUUGCAAUGCUUGGGAUCCGAACAACCCCGGGCGCUGUCCACCAUAUUACAAUCUGUAUGGUCAUCCCUCUGCGCCAUGAGCAAAAUGCGAGAAGAUUCUCUGAUUCCUGUGAUCUGUCAAUGCAGGCACACAUGUCUACCCCACGGCUUUUUGCAAGGAAAAUUUCUAUUAUAGUAGAAAUUUGUCUAACUGGAAUGCAUCUUCAUUUGUAUAGGAACAUGAAUAAAUGAAGUAGGAUAUGACCAUCCAUGUUCUUAUGUUCUCUCUUACGCUCUUUUUUUCUGUGGCGUGAUUUUUCACCAUCAUCGCAGGGGGCACCGAACAGCCCCGUGCACCAUUUUACAAUCCGUAUGGUCCUCGCUUCUGAUUGUGCGCGAUGAGCAAAAUGCGAGAAGAUUAUCUGAAUCCUGUGGUCUGUCAAUGCAGGCAUGCAUGACUACCCCACGACUUUUUAUAAGAAAAUUUCCUAUUAUAGUAGAAAAUUUUCUAACUCGAGUGCAUCUUCAUUUGUAUGGGAACUUGAAUAAGUCAAGUACGUAGCAUAUGGCUCUUACAAUAGGAACAAGAAUAAGACGUUUUAAUUAGGUUCCAUCUGUAUGUAAUUGUAUCCGAGAAGGACUUUUCUCCAUCCCGUCCAAAUUUCUCAUAUAUAAGGAAGGUGGGAGGUCCUAUUGUACACAUAUAUUAAAAAAAAGGCCUUUAAAGCUUGGGCGCUGCUUGCAGGCGGCCGGCUGACAGCAAC